rnacentral:rRNA from 1 species
UACGUAGGGGGCAAGCGUUGUCCGGAUUUAUUGGGCGUAAAGAGCGUGUAGGCGGCCAGGUAGGUCUGCUGUGAAAACUCGAGGCUUAACCUCGAGCUGUCGGCGGAAACCAUCUGGCUAGAGUCCGGAAGAGGAGAAUGGAAUUCCCGGUGUAGCGGUAAAAUGCGCAGAUAUCGGGAAGAACACCCGUGGCGAAGGCGGUUCUCUGGGACGGUACUGACGCUGAGACGCGAAAGCGUGGGGAGCGAACAGG